UUAAAGUGAAAACAAAUAUUCAAACGGUCACAUGUCCAACUCUAGGAUUAGACAAUAACAGCGCGUGAUAAGUUUUUAAAAAAAAAUAUUUUAAUUGAAAUUAUAAUUUCAAAAAAAAUUAAAAUUAUUUUAUUUAUUUUAAGGGAUGCUAAAAUUUUGGAAUUAGAAAAAUUUAUGACCCAACCCUAUAUUAUUUUAGUAUGAAUAACUGAAAUUUAUAUCAUAAUAUUUUAUUAAAAUUUUAAUUAUAAAUUUUUAUUAUAACUGCAUAGUUACUUUCCAAUCCAAAUUUAUGAAUAGAAAGUUCAAUUUUGUUUUGUGAUAUAGAUAUUUUUGUUUGUGAAAAAUAAUUUAAAAUAUAUACUACAAAGCUUUGUGGAGUAAGAGCAAACAAAUAUAUGAGUUUAAAAAUUAUAAAAUUAUUUGUAAAAAUGAUAAAAAGAGUAAAGGAAAAACAAUAUCAUACAUGUUAACUAUGACAUUAUUUUGUUAAAAAAAUAAUAAACGUUUGAAAACAUAUAUUUGCCAUUAAUGAUGUAAUUUUUUUUUUAUGUAUAUAAAAAUGAAGUAAAAACCGCGCGGAUUAAUUUAUAGUUAUAUUGUAAAGCAUCAAGCUUUUAGUAUAGUAUGAGGAAAAAGGCAAAAACUUAGGGAAAGAGUAUUGUAUUUGAUAGGAAACAACGUAAACAACAAAAUUAUCCCAAACCUUUGUUAUUAAUAGCGCAAAAAUCUGGAACCGGGCUGCUUCGUUAACGGCGCUCACUUUUCCCCUGACUCACUAAAACCCGCGCGUGACAUUAAUAUUUUUUCUCAAUUAGAAAAAUUCCAGUACAGCGAGUGCACCUAGAUUUAAAUAUUGGUCAGAUCUUUACCGUUAAAUGCAGCAAACAGUUUGUAAGAUUGCUUUACGGGGACACGUUAGGUUCUCAAUAGUCAUAGUCAAUUUGACCAGAGUUCGUAUUAUUUGCCAGAGCAACCAUGCAUCAGACAAUAAUGAAAACAAAAGUAAAUGCUCUUCAUCGAAAACGAGACUUCUCAAUUUUACCGAUUACUUUUACUACAGUAUAUUUUAAGUUAUUUAAAACAGUAGUAUCUGACUAAAUAAGAUUUUAUAAACUAUACUAUUAAAAUUAUCCGGAAACGGAUAAAAAAUGAUCACUAUAAAGGACCAGUAUCUAACAUUUUUAAAAUUAAAUAUAGCUAUAAGUUUUAGUAUCCUAGGUGUGUGUAUGAGUAGCUGUAAGCUGUCACAUCAUGAAUGCCAGAAAGAAAGGAAGAAACAAAUCAUGUUGCGAUUUUGAAUACAUACUUUGUUCUUUUGGGCAAGGUUGCUCCCUUAUCUAUUACUAUUAUCCGUGUAAGCUGAAAUAAAUUUAUUCAUUUCCAAGAUUAAAGAUGGAAAAUUGAUCGUCAAUCAAAGGCCCAAAUACCAUUACAUUUAUAAAGAAUAGAACCUUGUUUCCUGAGACACGUUAAAAAGCCCAGUUUCGACCCAAAAUGUAAUUUACUCUCUCGUUCAAAUGCUUCCAAAUUGUGUUGGCAUUUUGUUUAAACCUAGAAGUAAUUUCUCGGUACGGUUGCUUUGAGAUCUAUAUACAUACAUACAUACCAAUAAAGGAGACUGCCACAUCAUCAGAUAGGGAUGUGCAUUUUCCGCCACGUGGCGACUAAAAAAUCCCUGAAAUCCUCUUAAUUCGAGAUUUAGUGGGGCUUAUUGGACUAGGGAUUUCAUAAAAUAUUAGGAUUUUUUCAAAUCUUCACUUAUUGGAUAAGGGAUUUAUAAAAACCUUUACAAAUCCUCCCUUAUUGGAUAUAACAUUUGUAAAAAUCCCACUAAAUCACCUCUUAUUGGAAAAUAUGGAUUUCAUCAAUGAGAUUCAACAAAAGUUAUUUUGCAUUGUUAAAAAAUAGCAUUUACGCUUCAAAUUCAGUAGAAAAGAAUACCACCUAAAGAGAUGGAAUUUGGAAAAAAAAAAACAAUUAUUUAACAAGAGAGCGUAGCUGAGAUUGGAAGAUAAUCAAUCCAAAGUUUUCUCACCAUCGUCGAUCUUAUAUAUGGUCCUUUGAUGAGAUAACAACAGAAGUUUCAACGAGAAGAAGAUGAUGUGCGACAUGUCACCUUCUCGGCCCUCCUUGCAGAAAUCUAACUGCAGAAAAGCAAUUUGAAACUAUCGUCGAAGAAAACAAUUUACUCAAACGAGCCGUGGUGACCCAACGGAAGCGGCAGAGAGAAAGUGAAGAUCAAAGCCAGGAAUUGCAGAAUCUGAGGCAGAUGGUUACUCAGUACCAGGAACAGCUUAGAACUCUUGAGGUGAAUAACUAUGCUCUUACCCUUCAUCUGAAACAAGCACAGCAGAACAAUAGUUCCACCCCGGAUUGGUUCCAUCCUGACGUGUUCUAAUGCCCUUGUCAGUCAGAGAAACCGCACAUAUUUAUAUCUAAUUUCAGUUUCCAGUGUUUGUUGUAUGUUUCUUCGUCUCGGUUGGAUUGUGACCAUUUGUUAUAUACAAAUUCUGGAAUGGUUGAUGAAUAGCUAUAGUUGGGGAACAAAAGCAGUUGUAUUUUUUAACAAGGCUUUGAGACGUAUUAUGUAUUGAAGUUACAAGUGUAUUCCAUACAACCAAACAGAAUUAAACAUAUGUACAUAUAUGCAUCUUAAUCUACUAGUAUCCACACAAGUGACUUAAACAUUCUUACGUUUAUAUAUCUCAUCAAGUAUAUAAAAGAGGUAGUAUUGGCAGCUCAACUGCAGUAGAGAAAGGUUUUUUCAAACUUUCUUGGUUUAUAAGUGGACAAAACCUGUUUUGCUUUUCUAGAAAGUUACUUGAGCAACUCUGUAUAUUUCUAUAUGAUCAUAUCCUCACCAAAAUAUUAGUUUAUACUUAUGGAUGAUUAAGAAGAUAAAAGCAAUUGGUUGUAAUGUUUUGCUGAUCCAGAAGAGUAUUUUGGGAGAUGUUGUGACUGAUCUUUCUCUUCACUAUUUGACCCAAGCUAAGAUUAUGGCGAUUAAGGAUGUUGAGAGGUAUGAGAUUGAAUUUGUCACCAAGAUAUUGAACUGUUUCUUAAUCCCUAAUAUUGAACAUUUCAGAGCUGAGAACCUUGGUCAUGCUGAUCUUGUUUAAGAAGCUUCACUUGGAGAUGGAAAUAUUUUGAACAUCAUUGGAAUCAAAGAUAUGGGGAGAACCACCUAUGUUCUUAUCCGUGUCCAAUCAGCUUGUUCUUGAUAAAGCCGAAUAGAGUCUACACGAUGCUUUAUGUGUUCUCAUGUGUUUGGUGAACAAGAGGUUUUAGAUUUCAGGAGGUGGUGCACCAGAGAUUGAGCUCUCAAGGCAGCUAGGUGCUUGGGCUAAAGUGCUCCAUCAAAUGGAUGGUUCUGUAUGAAGUCUUAGCUGAAGUUCUCGAGGUUAUUACUUACACUCUAGCUGAGAAGGCAGGUUUGAAUCCUAUUAAUAUAAACCUAAUAGAUAUAUUACGUUUUUUAGUUUAAUCGUAAUAUUAUUAUUGAAAUAUUUUAUUAUAAAAAAUCUUACCAAAUCCUACCAAAUUCCUUUUUUAAAUCUCCAUCAAAAUCCCUGAAUUCAAACAAAACACUUCAAUUCCACCAAAUCUUAAAAUCCUAAAAACUUUCUCAAACCCCUAAUUCAAUAAGCCCCCCUUAGUCUUUUAUGGUUUUUUUUUUAUGUUUUGACGUUUGUUAUAAUUAACUUUUGCAUGAGCUUUAAUAUAUCCUUUAGUUUAAGCCCAGUAAAAUACAUGAUUUCAUCAUCGUCUCACAUUCGACCUUUGUAUCUCAGUCGUCUGCUUUCCAGAUAACUCAUACGCCGGUAAAGUCAGAGUAACGUCUCCAGCUUCCAUUAAUAUGUAGGAUUCUAAAAAAGAAAAAAGAAAACUCCUUUUCGAUUACUCAGCAAACAAAUUCACAAAUCUCUUCAAAUUCCCUAAAGCAAUCCAAAACCUACAUAUUGAAGCAACCAUCUCUCUUCUUCAUCUAUAUGUUUAUGUACGAGGGGGACUCUUAACUGAGAUACUGAUUUUUUCCUCUUUCUCCAACUUUUCUUUGCAAGGUUUCUCGCAACAAUGGCAAUCGAGAAUCAAGAUAGCACAAUCCAGAAAAUCAAGCCAAAUAGAGAAGAAACAUGGUAUUCCAAACAAUACCCUUUAUCUAAAUGAUAUUGUUUUAAUGGCUUAUCUUUAUCCCUCGAAUGUUCUUUAUACUUGAUGUUUGAGGUGUUUUAGUACAGUUGCGGGUCUGACCAAACUGCACCAUCAGGAUAACUUUGAUUUCCAAAGGAAGUUGCGUGAUCAAAAGUAUUCUUUGAAGAGGUUAUAAUAUAAGAUGGAGUACAAGGAAGAUCUACACAGGAGGCUACUACGCUAGACCAAGGUUUCUCAUUAUUGGAUACACCGGAUUGUUUCUCUUUAUCAAGAGAGGUUACUGUGGAAGAGAAUUUUGCAGAGAUUGAGCUUUGUUUGCUUCUCUUCAGGGGUGCGGUACCGAGAGGUAAAGUCUUAACUCCAUGUUCUUUGUUCAAAAAUGACUUUCCAUGAUUGCUUGAGAUAACAAUAUCGUUUAGGUCUCCAUCCACCUUUUCUUUUUAAAUUGCAUCAGUAUUUGCAUUCACAAAAAACCAUACUCUUCUUUCGAAGAUCUUCAAACAUCCAAGUUCAUGAGUGCUCUCUUUUAUAGGUGAGACCAGCUUCCUCUUCUCACCAAGCUAUAAAGUAACAAGAUAUAUAAUUUGAGAGAAUCUUAAGCAUAUAUGUCUAAUACGAUUCAAUACUUCUAAUCCUAAAACUACUCAAGAGCAGCCUCCAAAGCAGAUUAUAAUAGAAUUAAGCAUAGACUCAGAUUCUUGCAAAAUCACCAUGUUUUCAUCCUUACUUUACCCAAUAUUUUUAUCUGCUUCCAUUUGAUAUAUUUACCUCCCCACCUUCGAUUUUUCUAUGUAAACUUCCUUGGCAAGGCCUUCGUGCAGGUACCAGAAAUCUGAAUUAUGGCAUGAUCAGUGAAAGAGAAGGCUUACACAUGUCGAGGUUCACUUAAAAUCAUUCCACCUGAGUUCACAUCAUACUUUCUCUAUGUACGACGAUUGCAGUGUGAAUCCAAACCACAUAUUCAUACCCAAAGCGGCUUUUCAGGGAUCUAUUAGUUUGACGGUUGGGAGAAGUCUAUAUUUCUGUAACUUUCAUGUAGCAUAUGCUCGAAGAUUUUCUCAUUAAAAACAACUCUUUCGAUUCUUUUGUGCACUCAAAACAAUUUGUUUCUAAUGUUAUAUAUUUCCAGGUUAUUAGUUGCAUAUGCACUUUGAUUGGACAAUCUUGAAGUAACAGCAGUUUUGACUCCAACUCCAGCUCCAGCUCCAAACCAAGAGCUUCCAUUAGAAAGACCUCGGUGACAUACACACGUCCCAACUGCAAAAGUUGGAAGACACAGCUACACAUCUCAUGGAUACGUUCAAACAUGCUAUUUGCGGUUAAAAAGAGAUGUUUAUAGCUUCGGUGUUGUGAUCUACGCCAAACUAUUGAGAGGAACAAGCCAGCCACUGAAUUGGGUGAAAUAGUAUUCUUCUGAUAGUCCACGCUUCAGCAUGAUCAUUGACAGCCUAUGCAACAACAUCCAGUGCUGUAGGGAAAGGAGUUAUUUUUAUUUCUUAAAUAGAAAAAUAAAGAGAAGCCUAUGGUGGAGACUGUAGUGGAAAGAUUAAAGAAGAUUAUCAAAACAAACGAUAUAUUUUUCUCUAGGUUGCGUCAAAACUAAUUUGAACACCAAUUUUAUAAUUAAUCAAACUCAAACUAGAUUUUUUUCUCUCAAA